rnacentral:lncRNA from 1 species
AAUCUUCUCUUUUGUAGAAUCCUAAUUUUCUCUUCUCCUCACCAACCCAAUCAUCCAAAAAUGGUGACCUAAUUCAUGCUUUUUUUUCUUUAUUUUUCUCAAAUCUUAGCUCUUCAAACCUCAAAUCUUAGCUCUUCAAACCUAAAAGUUGAAUCUUUGAAGGAAUAAUUGUUCUUCAAAAUGUAAGCUUCAAACCUAUUCUUCUUUAUCUAUUUAUGUUGAUUUUUAUUUCGUCCCUUUUUUUUAUUAUUUGGUUUUUUUCUAGAUUCUUGUUACUCUAAUGGAAGAGAAAUCUUCAGAUUCGAUCUUCUAGGUUUGAGAGAAGAGAAAGAAUGAGAAUCACGGGCUUAGGGGAUUUAGGGAUAUUUGUUUAUAAGUGGGUCGGGUUGUAUUUUGGGAACGGGUAAGAUAAUUUUUAAAUCCUUAGGCGACGUGAACCACUAAAAACACGCUUGUGUAACAAUGCCCAACCUUCAACUGGGCUAGAGCUCGGAAGGUUAAAAAUAAUUCACAUCAAACAUCUUAAGGGGGGUAAUAAACACCCUUGUAGUUUAAGUACUAAAGCGAGUUUUCAUGCCAAGUUCAAUGUGGGUUUUGGGGGUCUUUUCCCUAAGUUGGAAAAUGAAUAUUUUUUUAUUUGGAUCUUGUUUCUUGAUCGAUUUUAAUUGGGGUUUCAAUCAUGAAUCCCUCUUUACUUGUAGGACUUGAUUUUUAACUAAAAAUUUGAUUUUAGCCUUUUAAUUUUUGAAGUGAUAUUUGGACUAAUUUAUCCCCGAUUUCAAGUCUUAUCAAUAUGAAUAAUAUUGGAGUCUUUUUAUUAACUUUUUCCAUUCUUGAUAGUUAAGGAUCGUUCAGGUGAUUAUGUGGUUGAUGAUCUACUCUGAUAAGGUUCUCCGAGUGACGUUUCAGUAUUGAGGUAGGUUUGGCUAUUCUUAUUUUAAAUUAAAAUGAGUAAUUAACCUCUUUUAGAAAGUUAACUGCAAAAUGAGUAGUAGCAUGAAUCUCAGAAAUUAAUAUAUGUUCACCUUCUUGUUUAGUUCAUAUAAUGCCUAUUUGUGAGCUUAGCCUGGGGGGGGGGGGGCUUGUGUGAUAUAUGUAAAUGUUGUGAUAUUUGAGUAAUUGUCCGAGUGAAAGGUUGUGUGACCUAUCUUUCUAUUUGACAUUGGUUUAUCCGAGUUAGGGGCUUGAGUUGAUUUUUAAACAUCUUAAAAUAAAAGAAACUCUUUCUAAGUGGUGAAAAUUGAAUUCAAAUUAUUUCUCCUCUAUCUUUAUCAUUUAAAAUGUAUUUCAUGACUUGUUGAGCUUGAGAACUUGAUACUAUUUGAAAAAUCUUGAUGAAACAAUUAUGCCUUGUGUUGUAUGUGUCUUUUGCAUUCAUCCUCUCAUUGUUUAUGAAAAUACGAGAAAGUGGAGGAAUACUAUCUUUUUGAGAAAAAAAAAUGAAACUCCAUAUUUAUAUCCUUAACCACGAGUUAAGUGACAAGUUGAUGAGAUUAUAAGAACUAUAUGUAUGUGGACUGCAAGUCCAGCAUGAGUCCUUUUUUGGAAGCUAAAUGCUCGGCAAAGUGUAUACGACAUGUUGUGCGACGACCUUGAUACCACCACAUCAUCCUGUCACUUUAUGAUCAUCUCAUUACAUCACAUUGACCAACUUUAUUGUGUUGUGUAAUUUGUUUAUAUGUCGAUUUAAAUGUUAAUUCUACUAUCAUGUGUUUACAUUAUUCAUGUUGUUUUAUAUAAAUGAGCGACAUCGAUGUUGGAAUGAGAUCUUUCUGUGUGUAGGACUGAAAGCGCUUAAUAGCUUAUUUUGAAGUCUCUUUAGUUGCUUACAUUCAGUCGGUCUGACUUACUGAGUACAUCUGGAUUGCGGCUGAUCCUCGUUGCGGCUGGUUAGAUCCAUCAUAUUUCUUUCUUUCGCGGUUGUGUGUGAUCUUAAAUUAAUUUGAUUUACUUGUACUUCAAAUAUUUCUUUAUUCCUAUCAAAAAUACAACUAUCUAAGAUGUUUCUUAAGAAAAUAACAAAAAAUAUGAUAUGGUUAAUGACAUUAAAAUAUUCAACAAAAAAAUAAUAAUGAAAUCGCGUGAAACAAAUAUUGCAAAUUAACAAUGUCAUAAUGAAAAUGACCAUAAUUUAAAAGUACUAAAUCAU